AUGCGCUACCAAGAGGCUGUGGGCUUCCUGGAACUGCUGGCUGGGCUGCUGCUGGUCCUGGGCCCACGGAUGCUGCAAGAGAUCAGUAACUUGCUUUUGACCCUGCUCAUGAUGGCCCUACCCUUGAGACGAGGAGAUGGAGUUGCAGCUGCCCGUGGAGUUAUGCGUCUGGCAGGGGCUAUCUUCACCUUGGCGUCUCUGAAAGAGUCACCGAACACCUACAUCCCAGCUGUCGUCUGCCUGGGGCUCCUGCUGCUGCUGGAUAUCUGCCAGCUCUGAGGCCAAACUGAGGAGGUGGUCAGACCCACCAGGGAGAAGACUCUUCCAAGUGCACUCAAGGAAUCCUGGGAGUCGAGGGCCUCUUGCCUCUUCAUGCCAUGCCACGGUCACGACAGGAACAUGGUGGAACACACAGUGUACCACCUUGUUACCAGUACCUCCAGGGUUGGCCAGUGGUGAAGCGGACAUCUUAUCUUCCUGACCCUGCUUUCUGUCUUGGACAGCUACUGCUCUGUUUUGAGGGCUACGUGUUAAACAUACUAAUAUUCCUCAUGUCAUGUGAAAAUAGAAAAUAAACAGAAAAGCAAUUUAAAUCA
rnacentral:lncRNA from 1 species